UACGUAGGGUGCAAGCGUUUAAUCGGAAUUACUGGGCGUAAAGCGUGCGCAGGCGGUUGUGCAAGACCGAUGUGAAAUCCCCGGGCUCAACCUGGGAAUGGCAUUGGUGACUGCACGGCUAGAGUGUGUCAGAGGGGGGGUAGAAUUCCACGUGUAGCAGUGAAAUGCGUAGAGAUGUGGAGGAACACCGAUGGCGAAGGCAGCCCCCUGGGUCAAGAUUGACGCUCAUGCACGAAAGCGUGGGGAGCAAACAGG
rnacentral:rRNA from 1 species